rnacentral:tRNA from 1 species
AAAUCCGUCGAAUUUUGGAAUCGUGGAGGUUUAAGUCCCUUUAUCCCCA